rnacentral:rRNA from 1 species
UGCCAAGCUCUCCGAGUGGUAGGGAUGAUUAUUUGGGCUUAAAGCGUCCGUAGCCGGCUUAGCAAGUCUCCUGUUAAAUUCAGCGACCUAAUCGUUGAGCCGCGGGAGAUACUACUAGGCUAGGAGGCGGGAGAGGUCAACGGUACUUCCGGGGUAGGGGUGAAAUCCUAUAAUCCCGGGAGGACCACCAGUGGCGAAGGCUGUUGACUAGAACGCGCUCGACGGUGAGGGACGAAAGCUGGGGGAGCGAACCGGAUUAGAUACCCGGGUAGUCCCAGCUGUAAACGAUGCGAGCUAGGUGUUGGGGUGGCUACGUGCCACUUCAGUGCCGCAGGGAAGCCAUUAAGCUCGCCGCCUGGGGAGUACGGCCGCAAGGCUGAAGCUUAAAGGAAUUGGCGGGGGAGCACCACAAGGCGUGAAGCUUGCGGUUC